UGGGGAAUAUUGCACAAUGGGCGCAAGCCUGAUGCAGCCAUGCCGCGUGUAUGAAGAAGGCCUUCGGGUUGUAAAGUACUUUCAGCGGGGAGGAAGGGAGUAAAGUUAAUACCUUUGCUCAUUGACGUUACCCGCAGAAGAAGCACCGGCUAACUCCGUGCCAGCAGCCGCGGUAAUACGGAGGGUGCAAGCGUUAAUCGGAAUUACUGGGCGUAAAGCGCACGCAGGCGGUUUGUUAAGUCAGAUGUGAAAUCCCCGGGCUCAACCUGGGAACUGCAUCUGAUACUGGCAAGCUUGAGUCUCGUAGAGGGGGGUAGAAUUCCAGGUGUAGCGAUGAAAUGCGUAGAGAUCUGGAGGAAUACCGGUGGCGAAGGCGGCCCCCUGGACAAAGACUGACGCUCAGGUGCGAAAGCGUGGGGAGCAAACAGG
rnacentral:rRNA from 1 species